rnacentral:rRNA from 1 species
GAUACCCUAGUAUGAAAUAUUAUUAUUGAUUAGUAUGUUUUGAAAUUUAAAAAUUUUGGCGGUUAAUUUUGGAAUUAGAGGAGCUUGCUGAUUUAGAAAUCACUCUUUGUAUCUUAUUAAUUUAAUGUUUAUUCAUCUCCGUUAUUAGAGUUAUUUAAGUUGAAAAAAUUUAAGGUUAUUAUUUCAGGUCAAGAUGUAGCUUGAAUUAAUUAAUGUUAGCUACAUUUAUAAAAUAGUUGGAAAUAUAGAAGAAUAAUAGUAUAAAAAAUGAAUUUGAUUGUAAUGUUAAUUAAAAUGUUAAUAUGAAAUUAAGUAUUAAUGUACAGAUUGCCCGUCACUUCUUUUGAAAAAUAGAAUAAGUCGUAACAAAGUA